AGUAGCUGGUGCAGCGCUGUGUUUUGGCUUUAGUCUAAGAAAAAUGUUGAUAACACACAGAUGUUUUUAUUUGUUGCUAAGUAAUGCUUACUCCAACCAAGGACUUUUCAGUCUCAUGGUCUACCAUCUCUCAUGCUCUGCCAGUGAGGAGGGGCACAAGAAGCUGGGAGGGAGCAGAGACAGGACACCUGACCCAAACUAGACAAAGGGUAUUCCAUACCACAGCACGUCAUGCCCA